GUGUCAGCAGCCGCGGUAACACGUAGGGAGCAAGCGUUGUCCGGAUUUAUUGGGCGUAAAGAGCUCGUAGGUGGUUCGAUAAGUCGGGUGUGAAAACUCUGGGCUCAACUCAGAGACGCCACUCGAUACUGUCGUGACUGGAGUCUGGUAGGGGAGUGUGGAAUUCCCAGUGUAGCGGUGAAAUGCGCAGAUAUUGGGAGGAACACCAGUGGCGAAGGCGGCACUCUGGGCCAGUACUGACACUGAGGAGCGAAAGCGUGGGGAGCGAACAGGAUUAGAAACCCUCGUAGUCC
rnacentral:rRNA from 1 species